UAGUGGCGGACGGGUGAGUAACGCGUGGGAAUCUGCCCUCAGGAGGGGGAUAAUAACGGUUGGAAACGACCGCUAAUACCCCAUAUGCCGAGAGGUGAAACGAAAUUCGCCUGAGGAUGAGCCCGCGUCUGAUUAGCUAGUUGGUGGGGUAAAGGCCUACCAAGGCAUCGAUCAGUAGCUGGUCUGAGAGGAUGAUCAGCCACACUGGGACUGAGACACGGCCCAGACUCCUACGGGAGGCAGCAGUGGGGAAUUUUCCGCAAUGGGCGCAAGCCUGACGGAGCAACGCCGCGUGAGGGAUGAAGGCCUCUGGGCUGUAAACCUCUUUUCUCAAGGAAGAAGAACUGACGGUACUUGAGGAAUAAGCCACGGCUAA
rnacentral:rRNA from 1 species